CCUACGGGGGGCAGCAGUGGGGAAUAUUGGACAAUGGGCGAAAGCCUGAUCCAGCCACGCCGCGUGAGUGAUGAAGGCCCUCGGGUCGUAAAGCUCUGUGGGGAGGGACGAAGCCUGCCGGGUGAAUAGCCCGGCAGAUGACGGUACCUCCUUAGCAAGCACCGGCUAACUCCGUGCCAGCAGCCGCGGUAAUACGGAGGGUGCAAACGUUGCUCGGAAUUACUGGGCGUAAAGCGCACGUAGGCGGCCUAAUAAGUCGGAUGUGAAAGCCCCGGGCUCAACCUGGGAAGUGCAUUCGAAACUGUUGGGCUUGAGUACGGGAGAGGGUUGCGGAAUUCCCGGUGUAGAGGUGAAAUUCGUAGAUAUCGGGAGGAACACCAGUGGCGAAGGCGGCAGCCUGGACCGAUACUGACGCUGAGGUGCGAAAGCGUGGGGAGCAA
rnacentral:rRNA from 1 species